AUUGAACGCUGGCGGCAGGCCUAACACAUGCAAGUCGAACGCGUGGCGGAGGGGUGAGAUAUGUCUGGGAAACUCUCUUAUGGAGGGGGAUAACCACUGGAAACGGUCGCUAAUAGCGUAUACUAUCAUAUGCGCCCAGAUGGGAGUAUCUAGGAGGUGGGGAAAAGGCUCACCUAGGCGACGCGCCCUAGCUGGUCUGAGAGGAUGACCAGCCACACUGGAACUGAGACACGGUCCAGACGCCUACGGGAGGCAGCAGUGGGGAAUAUUGCACAAUGGGCGCAAGCCUGAUGCAGCCAUGCCGCGUGUAUGAAGAAGGCCUUCGGGUUGUAAAGUACUUUCAGCGGGGAGGCGUUACCCGCAGAAGAAGCACCGGCUAACUCCGUGCCAGCAGCCGCGGUAAUAC
rnacentral:rRNA from 1 species